rnacentral:lncRNA from 1 species
AGAGGGAGACAGAGUCGCACGGCUGAGACGCCAGGCAGUCGCCUAGCAACAGCGGGACGCGGAGCGAUGGAGACCAGCAGCAGGGAGCUCCAAGCCGCGGAGUAUUUGGAAAAGCAUCAGAUCAAGGAGGUGGUUAGCUACCUCACCAGCGCCCUCCUUUUCUUUCGGCCGGAAAAACCAAAAGAAUAUUUAAUAUCUCUAUUGGAACGACUGAGAAUUGCAAAAGUAACAGGCGUGGCGUUUCCUUUCUUUAUGGAUAACUCUAACAUUGUGGCUAUGUUUGAGAUGAUGGACUCCUCAGGCAGAGGCACCAUAUCAUUUGUGCAGUAUAAAGAAGCCCUAAAAACCCUGGGUCUAUGCACUGAAGAUGAAGAUUUACAAGAUGAUGGACAUAAAAUAACUUUGGAUAAAUUCAAGGAGGAAGUGAACAAGAGGAUGAAGGAAAUAUGAUGUAUACAUCCAGCUUCUCUACAAGCAUUUGCCAGAAAAUUUUAAAUAAGGAGAAACAAAGCUGCUGCUCCAACUGAAGUAAAUGGUCUCGUAACGUCAGCAGCAACGGGCAAGCCGAACUGGACAGGGACAUCACUGCCUGCUCUGACUGAGAUGGCAAGGACAACCAUCUGGAAAAAACACAUUUUUACCAAAAAAUUUUCAUCAGUUUCUAUUUUUCAAGUUUUUAAAUCAUUUUAAAUUUGAGGAAGUGUUCUGUCCUAGGGCAUUUUGGAUAAGAAAAAAUAUACAGCCUAACAUUAAAAGCUCUAUCA